UAGCCACUUUCUUCUCCACAAUUCUCUUCCAUUCCAUCCGUUUCUCACAAUUCCACCAUUACGAAGACGAUUUCAAAUUGAAGUCUACAUGUUCCAGGUGUUCAAUUUUAAAUCAAACAUGCCCUUAGUAUCUUCUUAUUUACUAAACUUUGAAUCUUCUUUGCGGCAAUUGGUGAGAUAGAGCAGUGGGGUUGCUGCUAGAGUGGUGAUGGGUGGUGUGGAUUACGGUGGUGGCAAUGCUUUCGAUGUGGCUGGCUGCAAAUCUAAAGACCAAAUUGCAUCAUCCUUGAAGUACUUGAAACAUAACUGAUGACUGGGUUAGUUAUUUGGCAAAUCGAAUUUGAAACUUUAUUGUUGGGUGAGCUAAAGAAGUUGAUUGAAGCAAAUCCCCUGUUUCGCGACAAGUUAAACUUUCAGAACUUAAAGAACUCAAGACUUCGAACACUUAUUAACCAAAGUCUGAAUUGGCAACACCAGCUUUGUAAAAACCAAAGCCGAACCCGGACAACAAAACACUGUUUGUUGAUCAUUCUUGUGGGCAGUCGCAGCCAAACGGUGCACGGGCCCCAUCACCAGUAACUAAUCCAUUAAUGGGCUCUGUACCAAAGCCUGCAGGCUUUCCACCUCUGGGUGCUCACGGUGUAUUUGCCAAACGAGUAGACGCCGAUACUGUCGUUCUGAUGGCGGCCCGAGCCUCUAGAACCGAAAAUCAAGAUGCCAUUGAUGCUGCAAUAAUCGGUAUGCUGGUUGAUCCAAAAGAGCUUGUGGUUCAAUCUCACAAGGUUUUUAGGCGGGAAAACAUGUGAGCAAAAUGGGAGGUGGGAUUCAUUUCUAAAUCAAGUCAGAAUCUGGAUUCAGGUCAAAAUAAAUGGAUCUUAUAUAUGGUCUUUUCCAAACAACAUUACUUUACAACCUCACUUUUCUAAACCCUAGCCUCCCUCUCAUUCAUCGGUGUACUGGAUCCAUCAUCGUCUUGUCCAAAGGAUUCACCAAACAGGUGCGUGCUGGAUAAAAGUUUCAUGAGAAGAUGGCAUUUGAAAGAUAGAACUCCAUGUGAUAACAAAGGUGCAGUGAUCGAUGAAUAUGAUGAGCAAUCAGAUAUAGCAGAACGACUUUGAAUUUGUACAGAAUUUGAGUUUAUUUUGAUAUGCUAUACUAUACAGACAGUGCCUCUCUUUCAUUUCUUUAAAGAUGGAAUGCUAUUGGAAGCUUUUCCUACCCGAGAUAAAGAGCGGAUUAAAGCGGCUAUAGAGAAGCACACAACACCUGCUCCUGCUGCGUCUCAAGACGCCUAGGGCAUUCUGUUUCAGGUUAGGUUAUAUGAAACAAUUGACCAGUAUUUUUUUUGGGAAAAAAGUGUUUGUAAGCGGAUUUGUGAUCCAUGGAUUGAGGUUGAAUUCUCUACUCAGACAAAUGAUUACGGGAAAUGGAGUAAGAUCGAUGGCCGCAAAGGGAGAGUAUGGAGUUAGAAGAAAUGUUGAAGGAUGAACUUUAGCUCAAAAUGGCUUUUUAUGGCUGCCCCACACUCAAUGAUAUAUGGAUGUCACUUUGUUUAUGAUUUAUGAACUGACUUCAAGGAUAUCAAAUUUUAGAUGUUCGUUAAAUCAAAGAGGACUUGCAUCUAUAACAUUUGAUGUGGCAAGACGUGCUACACCAACCGGAUUGAGCUCAUAUUACUUUUAGUAAAUUGUAAAUGUAACAUUAUUUGUCUUUUUUCUUGAUGUUUUUGUAAACGACUUAUAAAGAAAACUUAUCUACUUUGUUACACUUUAUUUGCAUUACUUUUAUUGAUACACUUAUGAUUAAUGUAAUUUAAAUUUUUCAGCCCGAGUUGCCACCCGGGUGA
rnacentral:lncRNA from 1 species